CCCUAAGGCGAGGCCGAAAGGCGUAGUCGAUGGGAAACAGGUUAAUAUUCCUGUACUUGGUGUUACUGCGAAGGGGGGACGGAGAAGGCUAUGUUGGCCGGGCGACGGUUGUCCCGGUUUAAGCGUGUAGGCUGAUUUUCCAGGCAAAUCCGGAAAAUCAAGGCUGAGGCGUGAUGACGAGGCACUACGGUGCUGAAGCAACAAAUGCCCUGCUUCCAGGAAAAGCCUCUAAGCAUCAGGUAACAUCAAAUCGUACCCCAAACCGACACAGGUGGUCAGGUAGAGAAUACCAAGGCGCUUGAGAGAACUCGGGUGAAGGAACUAGGCAAAAUGGUGCCGUAACUUCGGGAGAAGGCACGCUGAUAUGUAGGUGAAGCGACUUGCUCGUGGAGCUGAAAUCAGUCGAAGAUACCAGCUGGCUGCAACUGUUUAUUAAAAACACAGCACUGUGCAAACACGAAAGUGGACGUAUACGGUGUGACGCCUGCCCGGUGCCGGAAGGUUAAUUGAUGGGGUUAGCGGUAACGCGAAGCUCUUGAUCGAAGCCCCGGUAAACGGCGGCCGUAACUAUAACGGUCCUAAGGUAGCGAAAUUCCUUGUCGGGUAAGUUCCGACCUGCACGAAUGGCGUAAUGAUGGCCAGGCUGUCUCCACCCGAGACUCAGUGAAAUUGAACUCGCUGUGAAGAUGCAGUGUACCCGCGGCAAGACGGAAAGACCCCGUGAACCUUUACUAUAGCUUGACACUGAACAUUGAGCCUUGAUGUGUAGGAUAGGUGGGAGGCUUUGAAGUGUGGACGCCAGUCUGCAUGGAGCCGACCUUGAAAUACCACCCUUUAAUGUUUGAUGUUCUAACGUUGGCCCGUUAUCCGGGUUGCGGACAGUGUCUGGUGGGUAGUUUGACUGGGGCGGUCUCCUCCUAAAGAGUAACGGAGGAGCACGAAGGUUGGCUAAUCCUGGUCGGACAUCAGGAGGUUAGUGCAAUGGCAUAAGCCAGCUUGACUGCGAGCGUGACGGCGCGAGCAGGUGCGAAAGCAGGUCAUAGUGAUCCGGUGGUUCUGAAUGGAAGGGCCAUCGCUCAACGGAUAAAAGGUACUCCGGGGAUAACAGGCUGAUACCGCCCAAGAGUUCAUAUCGACGGCGGUGUUUGGCACCUCGAUGUCGGCUCAUCACAUCCUGGGGCUGAAGUAGGUCCCAAGGGUAUGGCUGUUCGCCAUUUAAAGUGGUACGCGAGCUGGGUUUAGAACGUCGUGAGACAGUUCGGUCCCUAUCUGCCGUGGGCGCUGGAGAACUGAGGGGGGCUGCUCCUAGUACGAGAGGACCGGAGUGGACGCAUCACUGGUGUUCGGGUUGUCAUGCCAAUGGCACUGCCCGGUAGCUAAAUGCGGAAGAGAUAAGUGCUGAAAGCAUCUAAGCACGAAACUUGCCCCGAGAUGAGUUCUCCCUGACUCCUUGAGAGUCCUGAAGGAACGUUGAAGACGACGACGUUGAUAGGCCGGGUGUGUAAGCGCAGCGAUGCGUUGAGCUAACCGGUACUAAUGAACCGUGAGGCUUAACC
rnacentral:rRNA from 1 species